GGGAGAUUUUCCAGCGUAGCUGACCGGCCGCCAUCUUGCUACAGUCAACAGUUACUCUGAUUCGCGUUAUGGUAGCUGUUGUAAGAAGUACCUGACUAUGCCGGACUUUUGUGCAGCCUACGGAUGCUCUAAUCACCGCAGUCUGCAAACAAGAAUCCGUGGGAUCACCUUUCACGUGUUUCCCAAAACCGAAGAGAGGAGGAGGCAGUGGGAACUCGCCCUAAGAAGGGACAUCUUCAGGUUCCAUGAGACGCAGCACUAUGUUCCCCACAUAUGUUUAUGUUUGCUCAGUCUAAUAAACCCAUAACAUGGUUGUGAAAGAAUACCAAA